rnacentral:rRNA from 1 species
AGUGAACGCUGGCGGAAGCCUUAACACAUGAAAGUCGACCGGCAGCACAGUAAGAGCUUGCGAUUACGCGGGGGGCGUGGCGGUCGGGCGUAGGAAUCUUCGUAAUCUAGUUUUUUGUGGGGGGUAAAGUAGGGCUAAUUACGCUAAUAUCGCAUACGACCUACGGGUGGAUCUUCGGACUCCUCGCAACUUGCGGAGUCGAAGUCGGAUUAGCUAGUUGGCGGGGUAAAGGCCCACCAAGGCGACGAUCCGUAGCUGGUCUGAGAGGAAGAUCAGUCACACUGGAACUGAGACACGGUCCAGACUCCUACGGGAGGCAGCAGUGGGGAAUAUUGGACAAUGGGCGCAAGCCUGAUCCAGCCAUACCGCGUGUGUGAAGAAGGCCUUCGGGUUGUAAAGCCCUUUUGGUUGGAAAGAAAAGCAGCAAGUUAAUACCCCGCUGUUCUGACGUUACCCACAGAAUAAGCACCGGCUAACUUCGUG